UGCAUAGAGUGGAGACGCUAUUAGGUGGAUGACUUGGCUUAAGAUUAUGAUGAAGGGUGUGACAAGCUACAUAAUGCCUCAGCUAGACGCAAGUAGUCUUUGAACUGGGGAUUCCCGAAUGCGACUUCAGCAUUAAAUCCGUAAGGAUGAGCAACGCGGGGAAUUGAAACAUCUUAGUACCCGCAGGAAAAGAAAUCAAUUGAGAUGUUGCGAGUAAGGGCGACUGAAAGCAUCAUAAGGCAAACUGAAUUCUUAUCAGAAAUGAUAAGAAGAUGUGGUGUUAUAGACUGUUUUUAUCCUCCCUUGGGAACUCAAAGUCUCCUGAAAAGGAGCACCUUAGAGUGUGAAAGUCACGUAGAGGCAACUGAGAAGGAUUUUAGCAGUAUCUUGAGUACUGUCUAUUGGAUAUUAGGCAGGAAUAUGGGAGACAUCGAUUUCCAACCUUAAAUAGAUCUUAAGUCCGAUAGCUUACCAGUACAGUGAUGGAAUGUUGAAAAGAACCCAUGACAGGAAGUUAAAAGAACCUGAAACCUAAUAGUUAUGGAUCGAUAGUGCGUUAAGUUCUAUCGUACGUUUUGAAUAACGUGCCAGGAAGUAUAUUUAAGUGGCGAGGCUAAAUAAAAUGGAGCCGCAGCGAAAGCGAUUGCCCGUAGCUUGUGAUGGGCAGGAUAUGAAAGUGUCCCAAGUCACUUGAAUAUGACCCGAAGCCAGGCGAUCUAACCUGAGGUAAGAUGAAGCAAGGGUAAAACCUUGUGGAGGUCUGAAGAAUUGCUACGAGCAAGUGCUAUUCUAACCUCUGGCUAGGGGUAAAAAGCCAAUCGAGCUUGGCGAUAGCUGGUUCCUACCGAAGUUGGCCGCAGUCAAAUUCUAAUUGAGGGUGCUGGAGUUCUAGAGCUACGGAUCUGGGAUUUAGGACUCGAAAGGGUUCGGUUCUUUGUCCAACUCCAAAUAUUCCAGCCUCAAAGAGAUUAGAGGACGGGUAGUCGGCAUAAAGUUGGCUACCGAGAGGGGAACAACCCAGACUAUAGUUAAGGUCCCAAAAUGCUGACUAAGUAUUAAAGGGUGAAGGGUGUCAAUAACCAGAGACAGCGAGGAGGUUGGCUCAGAAGCAGCCAUCCUUUAAAAAGUGCGUAACAGCUUACUUGUCAAGGUUAUUGGCCCCUAAAAUGGACGGGGUUAAGUCAGUUACCGAUACUAUAGGUCACUUUUGUGAAUGGUAGGUAGGUAUCCUAUGAGGGUAGAAGUGCUUUCGUGAGGAAGCAUGGACCUUGUAGGAAAAAGAAUCCUGGUGGUAGUAGGAUCUUAGCAGUUUGAGAAUAGCUGUCACCGAAAGGGCCAUGGUUCCUUGACAAUGUAGAUCAGUCAAGGGUUAGUUAGUCCUAACCUAGUUCGUAAAUCGAAUGAAGGGAAAGGGAAAAAGGUUAAUAUUCCUUUACUACUUAAGUAUUCGUGGCGACACAAAUCCUAUUCCCGACACUUCGGAAUAAACCAACACAGCCUUCUGUGUUAACUGCAAUAAAUCAGGGGAGUAUCAUAAUGAUGAGAACCUGAUUAAAUGCAGGAAUAGUGUCUCGUAUGAGGCAUUUGGUUGAUUUCUGGAGUUCUUAAAAAAGGAAUAGGACAAAUCUUAAGUAACUCUACAUAGAACCAGCACUGGUGCCCCUGGGUGAGAAGCCCAAGGUGUGAAGAGGUAAACUAGCUAAGGGAAUUCGACACAUUAGCCCCGUACCUUAGGUAUAAGGGGUCCCUGCGGUUGUUAGCUUAUGUUAGCAAUUACAGGGUGCAAUUACAAAGAGGGUCCGACUGUUUAACAAAAACUUAGCCUUCUGCCAGCCUGCAAAGGUGUGUAUAGAAGGUGACGUCUGCCCAGUGCCUGCACUUUAAACUCCUUUCCAAGGGAGCUAAGAACAGGUAAACGGCGGGGGUAACUAUAACUCUCUUAAGGUAGCGAAAUGCCUUGCCGUUUAAUUGACGGCCAGCAUGAAUGGCGUAACGAGAUCCUCGUUGUCCCUAACUAGAACUCUCCGAACUCUCCAUUCUGGUGCGAAGGCCAGAGAUCUCCAGUGGGACGUGAAGACCCCGUGAAACUUUACUGUAGGUUGUUGUUGCAAUGUGAGUUUUGUUGCAUAGUGUAGGUGGGAGUCGAUAAAGCUUGAUUUUCGGAUUAAGUGUAGACGCCAAUGUAACACCACUUUUCAAAAUUUACGUUGCUAACUUCGCAAGAAGGACCGCAAUAGCUAGACAGUUUGGCUGGGGUGGCACACUGUUGAAAAGAUACGAAAAAGAGGCUUUUUGUAUAAAGGUCUCGUUCGACUUUAUAUCAACAGUGCCCAACGGUUGGCUCAACUCAGUCAGAAAUUGAGUGUAGAAUGCAAGGGUAAAAGCCAGCCUGACUGGAUUCAUAACAAAAUUGUAUCCAGGAUAGAAAUAUUGGCCUAGCGAACCUCUAUGUCCUCCUCGAUGGGGGCUAGAGAUGACUGAAAAGUUACUCCGGGGAUAACAGAGUGGUCGCGCCUGAGAGCUCAUAUUGGGCAUUUAAGGUUGCGAACGGAACUUCAAGAUAAGUGGUUUUCACAAUCCUGGAAGUACCUAGCAAUAGCCUUAAAGCUCAAGAGUUUAUCGACGGCGCGUCUUGCUACAUCGAUGUCGGCUCUUCCUAUCCUGGCUGUGCAGAAGCAGCCAAGGGUGUGGGUGUUCACCAAUUAAAAGGGAUCGUGAGCUGGGUUCAGAACGCUGUGAGGCAGUUUGUUUAAUAUCUACUGGAGAUGUUGAUAUCUGAAAGGAAGGAUCCUCUAGUACGAGAGGAACGAGGAUCCGAAGCCUCUGGUGGACCUGUUAUCUAACAAGGUAAGCAGGGCAGCUACGCUUUAUAUGGAUAAGUGCUGAAAGCAUCUAAGCACGAAGCCAUCCUUGAAAAGAGAUAUCUUAGGACUCCCAUAAAACAUGGGUUUAAUGGAAUUGAUGUGUAAGUGCCAAGCUUCGGCGAGGUAUUCAGCAUGCAAUCUCCAACCGUUCAUAACUCUAUGCA
rnacentral:rRNA from 1 species